UACAGAGGUCUCAAGCGUUUGUUCGGAUUCAUUGGGCGUAAAGGGAGCGUAGGUGGCGUCGUAAGUCAGGUGUGAAAUCUCGGGGCUCAACCCCGAAACUGCACCCGAUACUGCGAUGCUAGAGUACUGGAGAGGAGAUUGGAAUUUACGGUGUAGCAGUGAAAUGCGUAGAUAUCAGGAAGAACACCAAUGCGAAGGCAGCUCUCUGGGACGGUACUGACGCUGAGACGCGAAAAGCGUGGGGGAGCGAACAGG
rnacentral:rRNA from 1 species